CAUAUAUUUCCUCCGUCCAAUAAAAGAUGUCUCAAUUUUGAUUAAAUUUGAAUGCAAUCUAUACACUAAGUCAUGUCUAAAUACAUUCAAAUUUUAGCAAACUUGAGACAUCUUUUGUUGGACGGAGGAAGUGCUAA
rfam:Brachypodium distachyon strain Bd21 chromosome 1, whole genome shotgun sequence.